ACUCCUACGGGAGGCAGCAGUGGGGAAUAUUGGACAAUGGGCGCAAGCCUGAUCCAGCCAUGCCGCGUGAGUGAUGAAGGCCUUAGGGUUGUAAAGCUCUUUUAUCCGGGACGAUAAUGACGGUACCGGAGGAAUAAGCCCCGGCUAACUUCGUGCCAGCAGCCGCGGUAAUACGAAGGGGCUAGCGUUGCUCGGAAUCACUGGGCGUAAAGGGCGCGUAGGCGGCGUUUUAAGUCGGGGUGAAAGCCUGUGGCUCAACCACAGAAUGGCCUUCGAUACUGGGACGCUUGAGUCUGGUAGAGGUUGGUGGAACUGCGAGUGUAGAGGUGAAAUUCGUAGAUAUUCGCAAGAACACCGGUGGCGAAGGCGGCCAACUGGACCAGCACUGACGCUGAGGCGCGAAAGCGUGGGGAGCAAACAGGAUUAGAUACCCUGGUAGGUGA
rnacentral:rRNA from 1 species